rnacentral:ncRNA from 1 species
CAGAGUAGGUUUGCAAGCGUUAAGUGUCGUGUGAACGGGGAGUUGUCACAUGAACGAAAAGAUUUCUUGCGAUGAGCAAACCGCAUCCCGCUGU